GACGAACGCUGGCGGCGCGCCUAACACAUGCAGGUCGAACGAGCGAGAGAGAGCUUGCUUUCUCGAGCGAGUGGCGAACGGAUGAGUAACGCGUGAGGAACCUGCCUCAAAGAGGGGGACAACAGUUGGAAACGACUGCUAAUACCGCAUAAGCCCACGGCUCGGCAUCGAGCAGGGGGAAAAGGAGCAAUCCGCUUUGAGAUGGCCUCGCGUCCGAUUAGCUAGUUGGUGGGGUAACGGCCCACCAAGGCGACGAUCGGUAGCCGGACUGAGAGGUUGAACGGCCACAUUGGGACUGAGACACGGCCCAGACUCCUACGGGAGGCAGCAGUGGGGAAUAUUGCACAAUGGGGGAAACCCUGAUGCAGCGACGCCGCGUGGAGGAAGAAGGUCUUCGGAUUGUAAACUCCUGUUGUUGGGGAAGAUAAUGACGGUACCCAACAAGGAAGUGACGGCUAACUACGUG
rnacentral:rRNA from 1 species